AUGAACGCUAGCUACAGGCUUAACACAUGCAAGUCGAGGGGCAGCAUGGUCUUAGCUUGCUAAGGCCGAUGGCGACCGGCGCACGGGUGAGUAACACGUAUCCAACCUGCCGUCUACUCUUGGACAGCCUUCUGAAAGGAAGAUUAAUACAAGAUGGCAUCAUGAGUCCGCAUGUUCACAUGAUUAAAGGUAUUCCGGUAGACGAUGGGGAUGCGUUCCAUUAGAUAGUAGGCGGGGUAACGGCCCACCUAGUCUUCGAUGGGUAGGGGUUCUGAGAGGAAGGUCCCCCACAUUGGAACUGAGACACGGUCCAAACUCCUACGGGAGGCAGCAGUGAGGAAUAUUGGUCAAUGGGCGAGAGCCUGAACCAGCCAAGUAGCGUGAAGGAUGACUGCCCUAUGGGUUGUAAACUUCUUUUAUAAAGGAAUAAAGUCGGGUAUGGAUACCCGUUUGCAUGUACUUUAUGAAUAAGGAUCGGCUAACUCCGUGCCAGCAGCCGCGGUAAUACGGAGGAUCCGAGCGUUAUCCGGAUUUAUUGGGUUUAAAGGGAGCGUAGAUGGAUGUUUAAGUCAGUUGUGGAAGUUUGCGGCUCAACCGUAAAAUUGCAGUUGAUACUGGAUAUCUUGAGUGCAGUUGAGGCAGGCGGAAUUCGUGGUGUAGCGGUGAAAUGCUUAGAUAUCACGAGGAACUCCGAUUGCGAAGGCAGCCUGCUAAGCUGCAACUGACAUUGAGGCUCGAAAGUGUGGGUAUCAAACAGGAUUAGAUACCCUGGUAGUCCACACGGUAAACGAUGAAUACUCGCUGUUUGCGAUAUACAGCAAGCGGCCAAGCGAAAGCGUUAAGUAUUCCACCUGGGGAGUACGCCGGCAACGGUGAAACUCAAAGGAAUUGACGGGGGCCCGCACAAGCGGAGGAACAUGUGGUUUAAUUCGAUGAUACGCGAGGAACCUUACCCGGGCUUAAAUUGCAGAUGAAUUACGGUGAAAGCCGUAAGCUGCAAGGCAUCUGUGAAGGUGCUGCAUGGUUGUCGUCAGCUCGUGCCGUGAGGUGUCGGCUUAAGUGCCAUAACGAGCGCAACCCUUGUUGUCAGUUACUAACAGGUUCUGCUGAGGACUCUGACAAGACUGCCAUCGUAAGAUGUGAGGAAGGUGGGGAUGACGUCAAAUCAGCACGGCCCUUACGUCCGGGGCUACACACGUGUUACAAUGGGGGGUACAGAGGGCCGCUACCACGCGAGUGGAUGCCAAUCCCCAAAACCUCUCUCAGUUCGGACUGGAGUCUGCAACCCGACUCCACGAAGCUGGAUUCGCUAGUAAUCGCGCAUCAGCCACGGCGCGGUGAAUACGUUCCCGGGCCUUGUACACACCGCCCGUCAAGCCAUGGGAGCCGGGGGUACCUGAAGUGCGUAACCGCGAGGAGCGCCCUAGGGUAAAACUGGUGACUGGGGCU
rnacentral:rRNA from 1 species